AUUGAACGCUGGCGGCGUGCCUAACACAUGCAAGUCGAACGGUAACAGGAAACAGCUGGCUGUUUCGCUGACGAGUGGCGGACGUGUGUGACAUGUCUGUGAAACGCCCUGAUGGAGGGGGAUAACUACUGGAAACGUUGGCUAAUACCGCAUAACAUCGCAAGACCAAAGCGGUGGACCCUCGGGCCUCUUUCCAUCGGAUGUGCCCAGAUGGGAUUAGCUUGUUGGUGGGGUAACGGCUCACCAAGGCGACGAUCACUAGCUGGACUGAGAGGAUGACCAGCAACACUGGACCUGAGACACGGUCAGGCCUCUUCCGGGAGGAAGCAGUGGGGAACAUUGGACAAUGGGCGAAAGCCUGAUGCAGAAAUGCGGCGUGUAUGAAGAAGGCCUUCGGGUUGUAAAGUACUUUGAGAGGGGAGGAAGGGAGUAAAGUUAAUACCUUCGCUCAUUGACGUUAGCCGAAGAAGAAGCACCGGCUAACUACGUG
rnacentral:rRNA from 1 species